CGUUGGGCUUGACCGGGAUGCUCGGCGUAUCCUGCUAUCCGAAACCGCCGUUACGCGGAGGUGACAGCAGGGGGCGGGGCUUUUCGGAAAGGACGGGCCCACAUAGCGACUAUGAAGCCUCGUCUCGCGGGAUCGGUGUUUGCGCCGUAGGCAUCCGGAGGGAUGCCGAAAGCCCAUUAACCGGGGGGACCGGGUCAGGCCCUGACGGGAGCAGCCUUACCCCGGACUACCGAAGUUCGCGGGGAAGCGGGGCCGAGAAGCGAAAUGGCAAACCCGUCCCGGAAGAGGCCUCCACCCCUGCGGCCCAACG
rnacentral:SRP_RNA from 1 species